rnacentral:tRNA from 1 species
GCAUCUAUGGUGUAACGGAUAGCACAAGAGACUUCUAAUCUCUAAGUCUAAGUUCAAAUCUUAGUAGAUGUA